CUUUGACUGGAGUAGAGUAAUCUUUUCGGAUGAAAAAAUAUUUUCUUCCUGUAGCGACGCCCCUGUUCAGGUAUACCGCCCACGAGGACAACGCUUCCAGCCAAUGCACCUUAACGAAAGUGAAAGAAGUGGACGGUUCUCUGUAGCUGUAUGGAGCUAUAUUUCCGCUCAUGGGGCAGGUCCUCUCUGGAGAAUAGAGGGGAUUCUCAACGAAGAGGCCUACAUUAACAUACUGAAUUCCAUUAUGAAGCCGAGUGCUGAAAUGCUGUACCCAGACGGUGAAAUAUAUCUUCUGCAGGACCAUAGCCAGAUUCAUAAUAGCAGAGCUGUCCAGAACUGGUUCCAAGGUCAGCAGAGAAUAAAACUUCUUCCUUUCGUACCAAAAUCACCAGACCUCAACCCCAUUGAAAAUAUGUGGGCGGAGGUUACAAGGUUGUUACCACCUGGGUCAAGGAAUUCAGAAACUCUGUGGGAAAAUAUGGAGAAUACAUGGUGGGAGAUAAACGAUCACCACAAUCUCUCGAGGAAUUUAGCCUUAUCACUUCCCAGACGCCUUCGAGCAAUUAUAGAAAACGAGGGAGGAUGGGUACAGUAUUGAAAGAAAAAUAAAGGUCAAACCAGUUGCGAGGUCCUAAAGUGUUCCAGAAACCUACCAAAGCUAAAUGGUCCUUGUGUAUUCUCAUUAAAUGUGUCACUGCAUGAUUCUUACACAUAGGAACUACUAAUUAAAUUCUUUAUUCAAAGAAAUAAA